CAGUCGAUAGCUCAGUUGGUAGAGCGGAGGACUGUAGAUCCUUAGGUCGCUGGUUCGAAUCCGGCUCGACGGA
rnacentral:tRNA from 1 species